UUGUGCAGGUGUGACUUUCUGGUGUUCUACAGUGUCCUGGUGUUGUGGAUCUAGGGGUUCCAGUUAAGACGUGGUCAGCCUUCUAAAGAACGUGGGAAUCUCACCUAAAUAUUCAGUUACUUUGCUGUGUGCCUCGCAAGGACAAAAACUCAAACCUUCAUCUUCUCCUGGUAUCCUGGUGUCACGUGCCAAGGGGUUCAAGUUAAAACGUCAUCAGCCUUCUGAAGACAACACAGUUGAAAAGCGCAGAGAGAUUACCAUUCGCUGCCUCAUAGUCUAUAUUGGAGAGAAGGAGGAGGAUCUUUUCAAACAAUACAGCGAUGUGGAGGAGCUCAACGCAGACCUUGCAAUGCAAGUCAUGAAGAUUGCUAUCAUUGGUGAUGGGCCUGCAAUGAUCAUCGUUGAGGAAUCCAAGAUCCUGGAGGGGAUUGAUGCUGCCAGAUCCUGUGUUUUGCUGAUGGGAGUUAUCUACACUCUGAACCUUACCUACCCAAAGCAGCUGAAAUUUACCUUUGAGGUAUUUCAAAAGCUAUGCCUUGAGCUUGAUGGACAAAAAGCCAGCUCUAAAGUAACGAAUCUCAAGUUUGGUAUUUUCUAGAGCAGACUUAAUGAACUGUU